rnacentral:misc_RNA from 1 species
GGCGGCGCUUCUCUGGACGGCGGCGGUGGUCGGCGCCGGCCUCCUCUACUGGUUCCUUUGGGUGAUGGGAGCCGCCGAGGUACAGGGCAAGCGCGCCGUCAACCUCAAGAUGGGAUCCAUCAAGGAUGAUAACAUCCAGGAUAAGUACCGCCAGUACUGGUCCUUCUUCCGCCGCCCCAAGGAGGCCGCCGCCGCCGGCACAUCGGAAAAGGUCCCCGCCUUCGUCGACACCUUCUACAACCUCGUCACCGACAUCUACGAGUGGGGAUGGGGUCAGUCCUUCCACUUCUCCCCCUCCAUCCCCUCCCUCUCUCACCGCGACGCGACACGCGUCCACGAGGAGCGCGUCGCGGCGUUCAUCGCCGCGAAACCCGGCCAGAAGAUCCUCGACGUCGGCUGCGGCGUCGGCGGCCCGAUGCGGGCCAUAGCCGCCAAAUCUGGCGCCAACGUAGUCGGGAUCACGAUCAACGAGUAUCAAGUCGGCAGGGCUAGAUCUCACAACAAGAAAGCUGGACUGGAUCGGAUCUGCGAGGUCGUCUGCGGCAAUUUCCUCCAGAUGCCGUUCUCCGACAACAGCUUCGACGGUGUUUACUCCAUCGAAGCCACCUGCCACGCCCCGAAGCUGCACGAGGUCUACGCGGAGAUUUUCCGUGUGCUCAAGCCUGGAUCUCUGUAUGUGUCUUAUGAGUGGGUGACGACGCCGCUGUACAAGGCUGAAGAUUCAGAGCAUGUGGAGGUGAUUCAGGGAAUCGAGCGGGGUGAUGCGCUCCCCGGGCUGCGGUCGUAUAAUGAGAUUGCUGGAGUUGCGAAGAGCGUGGGGUUUGAGGUGCUGCAGGAGGAGGAUCUGGCGCUGCCGCCGGCGGGGCCGUGGUGGACGAGGCUGAAGAUGGGGCGGAUUGCGUACUGGAGGAAUCACCUGCUGGUGACGGUGCUGUCGGCGCUGCGGGUGGCGCCGAAGGGGGUGGUGGAGGUGCACGAGAUGCUGUACGAGACUGCUCACCACCUAACCCGUGGCGGCGAGACCGGAAUUUUCACGCCGAUGCAUAUGAUUCUCUGCCGGAAGCCGGUGGCUGCCGCAGCUGAGGAGUAGGAGCUACAUUCACAAGGUAGAUUUGCAGUAGAAUUCAUUCAAACUGAGUACUCGGAUUAAUUUACCGUCUCUUGUUUUAAUUGUGUUUAUUUAUGUGGUA